rnacentral:rRNA from 1 species
GAUGAACGCUGGCGGCGUGCUUAACACAUGCAAGUCGAACGGAAAGGCCCUGCUUGCCGGGUGCUCGAGUGGCGAACGGGUGAGUAACACGUGGGUGAUCUGCCCCUUACUUUGGGAUAAGCCUGGGAAACUGGGUCUAAUACUGGAUAGGACCAUGCUGUAGGUGGUGUGGUGGAAAGAUUAGUUUCGGUAAGGGAUGAGCUCGCGGCCUAUCAGCUUGUUGGUGGGGUAAUGGCCUACCAAGGCGUCGACGGGUAGCCGGCCUGAGAGGGUGGACGGCCACAUUGGGACUGAGAUACGGCCCAGACUCCUACGGGAGGCAGCAGUGGGGAAUAUUGCACAAUGGGCGCAAGCCUGAUGCAGCGACGCCGCGUGGGGGAUGACGGCCUUCGGGUUGUAAACUCCUUUCAGCCAUAACGAAGCCCUUGUGGUGACGGUAGUGGUAGAAGAAGCACCGGCUAACUACGUG